GGUGAACGCUGGCGGCGUGCCUAAUACAUGCAAGUCGAGCGAACGGACGAGAAGCUUGCGUCUCUGAUGUUAGCGGCGGACGGGUGAGUAACACGUGGAUAACCUACCUAUAAGACUGGGAUAACUUCGGGAAACCGGAGCUAAUACCGGAUAAUAUUUUGAACCGCAUGGUUCAAAAGUGAAAGACGGUCUUGCUGUCACUUAUAGAUGGAUCCGCGCUGCAUUAGCUAGUUGGUAAGGUAACGGCUUACCAAGGCAACGAUGCAUAGCCGACCUGAGAGGGUGAUCGGCCACACUGGAACUGAGACACGGUCCAGACUCCUACGGGAGGCAGCAGUAGGGAAUCUUGCGCAAUGGGCGAAAGCCUGACGGAGCAACGCCGCGUGAGUGAUGAAGGUCUUCGGAUCGUAAAACUCUGUUAUUAGGGAAGAACAUAUGUGUAAGUAACUGUGCACAUCUUGACGGUACCUAAUCAGAAAGCCACGGCUAACUACGUG
rnacentral:rRNA from 1 species